rnacentral:rRNA from 1 species
UGAGUAAUGCCUAGGAAUCUGCCUGGUAGUGGGGGACAACGUUUCGAAAGGAACGCUAAUACCGCAUACGUCCUACGGGAGAAAGCAGGGGACCUUCGGGCCUUGCGCUAUCAGAUGAGCCUAGGUCGGAUUAGCUAGUUGGUGAGGUAAUGGCUCACCAAGGCGACGAUCCGUAACUGGUCUGAGAGGAUGAUCAGUCACACUGGAACUGAGACACGGUCCAGACUCCUACGGGAGGCAGCAGUGGGGAAUAUUGGACAAUGGGCGAAAGCCUGAUCCAGCCAUGCCGCGUGUGUGAAGAAGGUCUUCGGAUUGUAAAGCACUUUAAGUUGGGAGGAAGGGCAGUCAGCGAAUACCUUGCUGUCUUGACGUUACCGACAGAAUAAGCACCGGCUAACUCUGUGCCAGCAGCCGCGGUAAUACAGAGGGUGCAAGCGUUAAUCGGAAUUACUGGGCGUAAAGCGCGCGUAGGUGGUUUGUUAAGUUGGAUGUGAAAUCCCCGGG